rnacentral:rRNA from 1 species
UAGGGAAUCUUCGGCAAUGGGGGGAACCCUGACCGAGCAACGCCGCGUGAGUGAAGAAGGUUUUCGGAUCGUAAAGCUCUGUUGUUAAGGAAGAACGAGUGUGAGAAUGGAAAGUUCAUACUGUGACGGUACUUAACCAGAAAGGGACGGCUAACUACGUGCCGGCAGCCGCGGUAAUACGUAGGUCCCGAGCGUUGUCCGGAUUUAUUGGGCGUAAAGCGAGCGCAGGCGGUUAGAUAAGUCUGAAGUUAAAGGCAGUGGCUCAACCAUUGUAGGCUUUGGAAACUGUUUAACUUGAGUGCAGAAGGGGAGAGUGGAAUUCCAUGUGUAGCGGUGAAAUGCGUAGAUAUAUGGAGGAACACCGGUGGCGAAAGCGGCUCUCUGGUCUGUAACUGACGCUGAGGCUCGAAAGCGUGGGGAGCGAACAGG